GUCAUGAACCCCGGCAUUCAAUGCCGGGGCUUGGAGCAAGGCUCGCUUUGUUUCAAGCCUGAGACAUGAGCAGACUCAGCCCGGCAACGGGCUACGUUAUCAGGGAGUGUUCAAGGACCCGACCUUCGGGUGCGCGGCCAGCCCGCUGCUCUAGUG
rnacentral:sRNA from 24 species